rnacentral:rRNA from 1 species
CCUACGGGUGGCAGCAGUGGGGAAUAUUGGACAAUGGGCGAAAGCCUGAUCCAGCCAUGCCGCGUGUGUGAAGAAGGCCUUCGGGUUGUAAAGCACUUUCAGUGGGGAAGAAAGCCUUGGGGCUAAUACCCUCGAGGAAGGACAUCACCCACAGAAGAAGCACCGGCUAACUCCGUGCCAGCAGCCGCGGUAAUACGGAGGGUGCGAGCGUUAAUCGGAAUUACUGGGCGUAAAGCGCGCGUAGGCGGUCUGAUAAGCCGGUUGUGAAAGCCCCGGGCUCAACCUGGGAACGGCAUCCGGAACUGUCAGGCUAGAGUGCAGGAGAGGAAGGUAGAAGUCCCGGUGUAGCGGUGAAAUGCGUAGAGAUCGGGAGGAAUACCAGUGGCGAAGGCGGCCUUCUGGACUGACACUGACGCUGAGGUGCGAAAGCGUGGGUAGCAAACAGGAUUAGAUCCCCCUGUAGUC